GAUGAACGCUGGCGGCGUGCCUAAUACAUGCAAGUCGAGCGGAAAGACGAGGAGCUUGCGCCGUUGACGUUUGCGGCGGACGGGUGAGUAACACGUGGAUAACCUACUUAUAAGACUGGGAUAAUUUCGGGAAACCGGAGAUAAUACCGGAUAAUAUAUUGAACCGCAUGGUUCAAUAGUGAGAGACGGCUUUGGUGUCAGUUAUAGAUGGAUCCGCGCCGCAUUAUCUAGUUGGUAAGGUAACGGCUUACCAAGGCGACGAUGCGUAGCCGACUUGAGAGGGUGAUCGGCCACAUGGGAGCUGGGACACGGUCCAGACUACUAAGAGAGGCAGCAGUAGCGUAUCUUCCGCAAUGGGCGAAAGCCUGACGCAGCAACGCCGCGUCAGAGACGAAGGUCUCCGGUUCGUAAAACCCGGUUAUUAGUGAAGAACAGCUGUGUAAGUAAACAUGCACGUCUUGACGGUACCUAAUCAGAAAGCCACGGCUAACUACGUG
rnacentral:rRNA from 1 species